rnacentral:rRNA from 1 species
UACGUAGGGUGCAAGCGUUGUCCGGAAUUAUUGGGCGUAAAGAGCGUGUAGGCGGCCCGAUUAGUCCGCUGUGAAAGUCCAGGGCUCAACCCUGGAAUGCCGGUGGAUACUGUCGGGCUAGAGUCCGGAAGGGGCGAGUGGAAUUCCUGGUGUAGCGGUGAAAUGCGCAGAUAUCAGGAGGAACACCAAUGGCGAAGGCAGCUCGCUGGGCCGUGACUGACGCUGAGACGCGAAAGCGUGGGGAGCAAACAGG